CCUACGGGAGGCUGCAGUGAGGAAUAUUGGUCAAUGGGCGCGAGCCUGAACCAGCCAAGUCGCGUGAGGGAAGACGGUCCUAUGGAUUGUAAACCUCUUUUGUCGGGGAGCAAAAGACGCCACGCGUGGCGUUCCGAGAGUACCCGAAGAAAAAGCAUCGGCUAACUCCGUGCCAGCAGCCGCGGUAAUACGGAGGAUGCGAGCGUUAUCCGGAUUUAUUGGGUUUAAAGGGUGCGCAGGCGGAAGGUCAAGUCAGCGGUAAAAUUGAGAGGCUCAACCUCUUCGAGCCGUUGAAACUGGUUGUCUUGAGUGAGUGAGAAGUAUGCGGAAUGCGUGGUGUAGCGGUGAAAUGCAUAGAUAUCACGCAGAACUCCGAUUGCGAAGGCAGCAUACCGGCGCUCAACUGACGCUCUUGCACGAAAGUGUGGGUAUCGAACAGGAUUAGAUACCCUGGUAGUC
rnacentral:rRNA from 1 species